GUUGAAAAGGAGCCUCGUUGGAAUAAACCUAGUAAUUGGGAAUAAACAGCUGGGAAUUGGCAAGCUCAGUUACCUGUGUUUGCUCAGGUACAGUCCUCAUAAAGAAAGGACUAUUUGUGCAAAACCACCCAUUGCCCUGAGGCAGAAGCACUGAGAGCUGUGCACUGGAAGAGACCCCAGCAUCCUGCAGAUGCAGCAGCUCCAUGCAUUCACCUCACCCAGCAAAAGCAGUGAAUUCCCACAAUUGAGCACAAGCAGAGAAAUUGGUGUCCCUGCUUUCAGAAGUCGUCGGGUUUUC
rnacentral:lncRNA from 12 species